rnacentral:rRNA from 1 species
UACGGAGGGUGCAAGCGUUAAUCGGAAUUACUGGGCGUAAAGCGCACGCAGGUGGCUGAGUCAGUCGAUUGUGAAAGCCCUGGGCUUAACCUGGGAAUUGCAGUCGAUACUACUCAGCUAGAGUAUGGGAGAGGGCAGUGGAAUUCCCGGUGUAGCGGUGAAAUGCGUAGAUAUCUGGAGGAACACCGGUGGCGAAGGCGGCAUCCUGGACCGACACUGACGCUGAGGAGCGAAAGCCAG